rnacentral:rRNA from 1 species
AGCCGGCCUGAGAGGGUGACCGGCCACACUGGGACUGAGAUACGGCCCAGACUCCUACGGGAGGCAGCAGUGGGGAAUAUUGCACAAUGGGCGCAAGCCUGAUGCAGCGACGCCGCGUGAGGGAUGACGGCCUUCGGGUUGUAAACCUCUUUCGCCAGGGACGAAGCGCAAGUGACGGUACCUGGAGAAGAAGGACCGGCCAACUACGUGCCAGCAGCCGCGGUAAUACGUAGGGUGCGAGCGUUGUCCGGAAUUACUGGGCGUAAAGAGCUCGUAGGUGGUUUGUCGCGUUGUUCGUGAAAACUCACAGCUCAACUGCGGGCUUGCGGGCGAUACGGGCAGACUGGAGUACUGCAGGGGAGACUGGAAUUCCUGGUGUAGCGGUGGAAUGCGCAGAUAUCAGGAGGAACACCGGUGGCGAAGGCGGGUCUCUGGGCAGUAACUGACGCUGAGGAGCGAAAGCGUGGGGAGCGAACAGGAUUAGAUACCCUGGUAGUCCACGCCGUAAACGGUGGGUACUAGGUGUGGGUUUCCUUCCUUGAGAUCCGUGCCGUAGCUAACGCAUUAAGUACCCCGCCUGGGGAGUAC